GGAGAGCAGAGUAUAGACUGCUGAAUUAUUCAUGUGCCCAGCCAAGACUGUGACUGGACUGGUUGUGCUAUUUGCAUGCAUCAGACAUGCUGUUUGUCUGUUUGCUAACAUUCCUCAUUCAAAGACUUGUUAACUAGCAGACGGGCUGAGCUGGAGCCUUGCAGACAGCCUCAUGGCCUCCUAUUGUUGCAGGCCCCGCCAGGCCUGGGCCCAGCCGGUGGCAGGCGAGCCAUGCAGCCCUGAGCUGGGGGAUCAGACUGUGGCUGGAGGUGGGAGUGAGCCUGUGGCUGAGAUUGAGGCUGGGGCUGGGUCCGAGGCAUGCCUGUGAAGGGGACAGUCUGAGGGAAACCACUGGGUCUUUCAAGCACCACCAAACAGGAGCUUAUGGCUGUCUGCUCUUCUCAACAGUGAUGUGAAUCCCAUGAAACGGGAAAGGGCUGCCGAAAUUCACAUCCAGAUUCGGACAUUCACCAUCUUUUCUGUGGAAUAUGGGCAGAGAGAUGCUCUUCAACUUCAGCCACAGGCACAAACAAUGUGGCCAACAAGAGAAAUUACAGACAGACUGGCGAUCACAGCAAGAUUAAGUAACAGAUUUUCCCUCUCGGGGCUUUUAAGAUGGAGGCUACCUGACAAGCCGCUGAAACCAUGAUGGAGAGAAGAGGCGAUAGGCUGGUGUUCCCCGCUUUCGCUGCAUGUUACUGAGCAGGGCAGCAAUACUGCACCAGACAGACAGCAGGGGGCGUCAUGUGGACAGCAUCAUAAACCUUGCAGGAUCAACAAACCAAAGCAGGUCAACUGUCUGGCCCAGAACCGUGAGGCUGUCCUAUCCAGAAUGCAGACUUCCACAGCCGAUCACAGCAACGGAGAAGGCCUGCAGGUAAAGUCUGUUCACUUUGGCUUUUGUCCUUGAUGUACCUUUUCUGUUUCAAGCAAUAAUAAAAAAGUUGCAUGACAGAUCA